AGGGAGAGGCAAGAAUCUCAAGCAGAGUUUGUGCUAAACACAAAGCUGAUGCCUGGCUUAGUCUUAGGACACUGAGAUCAUGAUCUCAGCCAAAACCAAGAAUUAGACGUUCAACUGACUGAACCACCCAACUUAUUCUAAUACAAUCUAAGGUGAGGGAUAAAAUCUAAGCUUGGUAUGACAAGGCAAAUGAACCUUUUAAAUAAACCUCAAAAAUAAGCCAAUCGUCUUUCCUUCCAAGCCACAAGUAAAGCUGAAGUCACUACCUGGAGCACCUUCCUGAAAAGGAUUAGGGAUUGGGGUGAUGGUGAAAAAUUCUGGACCUUGAUGGCAGAUUCACUAUCAAAAAGGAGAAGAGAGGAUGUAAAGGUAAUACCUAUAAUAGAGGAAACUGAAGAUCCACUAAGGACAUGAAAACCUCUGGAGUGAAAUCUUGCUUGCCAACUGAGAAAUUGAUGCUUAUAUGUUGAUAAAGCAGUUGAGCCAAACUGGAAAGAAGAAACAAAGAAGGUAUCCUGUCAUCUCUGUACCCCUGUGUCAAGAGUGCCACCCGGUGAUUCCCCCUUUACUCUGCAGGGCCAUGCAUUUAUGCUUCAUAAAUCCUUGGUUCCCCAUUUGGUCUUUGGCUUUCUGUGUCCAUUUGGAAGAGAACUUACAAGGAGACAACCCGGUCAAGAUGGAGAAAUUGCACAGGUAAACUCUACUGAGCCAUUCAGUAAAUUCUACUGAACCACUCUAAUUACCAUUUAAUGAUGACUCUUACAACCGAAUUCAACCAAGAUGAGCAAUACCAUCUGCAUGAUAGCUGGAGAGAAAUUUUGGUUGUGGAUCCAUUUCCUUUAUUUGCUGGAAUAAAAACCCUUUCGUUGAGAGGACUCCA
rnacentral:lncRNA from 12 species